AGAGUUUGAUCCUGGCUCNNAUUGAACGCUGGCGGCAUGCCUUACACAUGCAAGUCGAACGGUAACAGGUCUUCGGAUGCUGACGAGUGGCGAACGGGUGAGUAAUACAUCGGAACGUGCCCGAUCGUGGGGGAUAACGCAGCGAAAGCUGUGCUAAUACCGCAUACGAUCUACGGAUGAAAGCGGGGGAUCGCAAGACCUCGCGCGGACGGAGCGGCCGAUGGCAGAUUAGGUAGUUGGUGGGAUAAAAGCUUACCAAGCCGACGAUCUGUAGCUGGUCUGAGAGGACGACCAGCCACACUGGGACUGAGACACGGCCCAGACUCCUACGGGAGGCAGCAGUGGGGAAUUUUGGACAAUGGGCGAAAGCCUGAUCCAGCCAUGCCGCGUGCAGGAUGAAGGCCUUCGGGUUGUAAACUGCUUUUGUACGGAACGAAAAAGUCUUCUCUAAUACAGGAGGCGAAUGACGGUACCGUAAGAAUAAGCACCGGCUAACUACGUGCCAGCCGCCGCGGUAAUUC
rnacentral:rRNA from 1 species